UACGUAGGGGGGCAAGCGUUGUCCGGAAUCAUUGGGCGUAAAGCGCGUGUAGGCGGCCAGAAAAGUCCGCUGUGAAAACUCGAGGCUCAACUUCGAGCUGUCGGUGGAAACUUUCUGGCUAGAGUCCGGAAGAGGAGAAUGGAAUUCCUGGUGUAGCGGUGAAAAUGCGCAGAUAUCAGGAGGAACACCAAUGGCGAAGGCAGCUCGCUGGAACGGUACUGACGCUGAGGCGCGAAAAGCGUGGGGGAGCAAACAGG
rnacentral:rRNA from 1 species